rnacentral:rRNA from 1 species
AACGAACGCUGGCGGCAGGCUUAACACAUGCAAGUCGAGCGCCCCGCAAGGGGAGCGGCAGACGGGUGAGUAACGCGUGGGAAUCUACCCAUCUCUACGGAAUAACGCAUGGAAACGUGUGCUAAUACCGUAUACGUCCUUCGGGAGAAAGAUUUAUCGGAGAUGGAUGAGCCCGCGUUUGAUUAGCUAGUUGGUGGGGUAAAGGCCUACCAAGGCGACGAUCCAUAGCUGGUCUGAGAGGAUGAUCAGCCACACUGGGACUGAGACACGGCCCAGACUCCUACGGGAGGCAGCAGUGGGGAAUAUUGGACAAUGGGCGCAAGCCUGAUCCAGCCAGGCCGCGUGAGUGAUGAAGGCCCUAGGGUUGUAAAGCUCUGUCACCGGUGAAGAUAAUGACGGUAACCGGAGAAGAAGCCCCGGCUAACUUCGUGCCAGCAGCCGCAGUAAAAC